rnacentral:pre_miRNA from 1 species
CAUAUACUCCCUCCGUCCGGAAAUACUUGUCGAAGAAAUGCAUAAAAAUGGAUGUAUCUAGAACUAAAAUACAUCUAGAUACAUCCGUUCCUCUGACAAGUAUUUCCGGACGGAGGGAGUACAUU